AUACUUACCUGGAUGGGGUCUAUGGCUGAUCAAGAAGAGCCAUGGCCUAAGCUAGUGGCUUCCAUUGCACUUUAGGAGGAGCACUAGUUUACCAUCUCCUCAAGUAGGAGAGUGGACAUCAUAAUUUGUGGCAGAGGGGAUACGCGUUCGCGCGGUCCCUAC
rnacentral:snRNA from 1 species